rnacentral:rRNA from 1 species
CCCACGCGAAAGCACGAGACCAGGAUUCCCCUAGUAACUGCGAGUGAAGAGGGAUUAGCCCAGCACCGAAGCCUGCGGUCAUUUGACUGCUAGGCAAUGUGGUGUUUAGGUUGGUUCUUGGCAUUACUGCUCCACCCUAAGUCCAGCAAUGAGUACGGCUUACUGGAUUGGCCCAUUGAGGGUGAAAGGCCCGUGUGGGUGGAGACUCAAAUUAUCAGUUUUGCCCUGAAUUAACCUUGGAGUCGGGUUGUUUGUGAAUGCAGCCCAAAGUGGGUGGUAAACUCCAUCUAAGGCUAAAUACUGGCACGAGUCCGAUAGCGAACAAGUACCGUGAGGGAAAGUUGAAAAGUACUCUAAAAAAAGAACACU